ACUCACGGAGGAGCCGAAACACACAAUAACAACAAAAGAUGCUCGAUUUCUGAGUAAAAGGGAAUGUUGGAUAAAUUAUUUCUGACUUGACAACAUGAGUUUCUGCGUUUCAGAUGAAAUCAGCAGCUGUGCUCUGUCUUACUGAUUGUUCGGGGAUUUAGAUCCUGUGUGCUACUCUCGACAUUUUUACAGAUCAUUUUACACAGUCUGUUGCAAUGAGGAAGAAAAAAGGACUUUGCUCGGAUAUGCUUCACAUCGUGUGCAGGUCUUGUGAUGCUGCGGAAGUGUCUCUGAUAGUGACAGGGAACAGACACUGACUGACGCCUGUAAGGUGAUAAAGCUAUUUGCAAACUGUUGUGCUGCUGUGACGUGAUCAUGGAUUGGAAGAGUAACCUGAGGCGCACCCAGUCACUGAGGAGCGUCCCCUCGUCAUGUGACAAGCCCACCUGGACAGAGGCAGGGCUUUGGGACAAGACAACAUCUGUGUCCCAGCUUGUUGCAAGGUAUCAAACUGCAGUGAAGGGAAGCGCAUCUAUUCAAGAAACUUCAGUAAAUAAUGUAGAAGCAAAGACAAAGCAGGAGUUCAAAGAGGUAAC